rnacentral:snoRNA from 1 species
CCGCGGCAUUCCCUGGGCGUGAGGGUCAGCAAUCCCUCUCCCUGCCCGUGUAUAUUCCCGCUAGAACUA